rnacentral:rRNA from 1 species
AUUGAACGCUGGCGGCAGGCCUAACACAUGCAAGUCGAGCGCGAAAGUUCUUCGGAAUGAGUAAAGCGGCGGACGGGUGAGUAAUACAUGGGAAUCUGCCUGGUAGUGGGGGACAACGUUUCGAAAGGAACGCUAAUACCGCAUACGCCCUACGGGGAAAGGGGGGAGUCUUCGGACCUCUCGCUAUCAGAUGAGCCCAU